rnacentral:rRNA from 1 species
GUGAGGAAUUUUCCGCAAUGGGCGAAAGCCUGACGGAGCAAUGCCGCGUGAAGGAUGAAGGCCUAUGGGUUGUAAACUUCUUUUCUCAGAAAAGAAUUAUGACGGUAUCUGAGGAAUAAGCAUCGGCUAACUCUGUGCCAGCAGCCGCGGUAAGACAGAGGAUGCAAGCGUUAUCCGGAAUGAUUGGGCGUAAAGCGUCUGUAGGUUGUUUAAAAAGUAUUCUGUCAAAGUUUAGGGCUUAACCCUAGAUAGGCAGAAUAAACUUUUAAGCUAGAGUUUGGUAGAGGCAGAGGGAAUUCCCGGUGGAGCGGUGAAAUGCGUAGAUAUCGGGAGGAACACCAAAGGCGAAGGCACUCUGCUGGGCCAAUACUAACACUGAGAGACGAAAGCGAGGGGAGCAAAUGGGAUUAGAUACCCGUGUAGUCC